AUGAAGGCUGCACAAUUCGGACCUUGGUCAGAUCUUCCUACGGAACUCCUGGGCCUUGUCCUAAAGCGCCUCAAUUCCCUGGCUGACCGUGUUCGUCUGAGAGCAGUCUGUCACCCAUGGCGCUCUAAUAGUAUGUUGCAGAAUCUUCCCCUCCCAUUCCCUUGGCUCACCCUCACCGAUGGAACCUUCCUCAGCAUCCAAGGGAGUGAGGUUCACCGCAUGCCUCUGCCAGAUGGUGCUCGUUGGCACGGCUCCAUUGACAACAGGCUAUUCCUCAUAAGCUGUGAUGGUGCGUGUUCAUUGCUGAACCCUUUUUCCAAGAGCACAAUGGAGCUUCCUAAUCUUGCAAGUGUUUGGCAGCGCGAGAUAGAUAACCAUGCUGAAUAUACUGAUGAUCCAGUUUCCUAUAAGUUAGUGGCGCCCUCGCCACUGGAAUCAUCACCCAAGUCCCUUGUUGCUGCGUUGAUCAUCGGCAAUUGUUAUUCUGUUGAUCUUUGUGUUGUUCAACCACCUGCCACCACUUACUCAUUCAGAGGUAUACGUACUGCACUGGGGGAGCCACCAACAUUAGUGGACCUUGCAUUCUUGGAUGGAAGGCUGUACGUGGUAUCUGGAUUUUUCAAGCUUUUCGUCGUUGAUUUUGUGGAAUGUGGUGGUAGGCUACUGAUGGUGCAAAGAUUUACACACUCACAGGGUUUUGGGAAUUCUCACACUGUUGGAUUUAAUGUCCUUGAGGCAGACUUGCGCACUAACCCUGGUCAGUGGAGAACGGUGAGUGAUUUGGGUGGCCACGCGCUCUUUCUUGGUAAGCAAAGCUCAAAGUCCCUGCCUGCUGGAGAAUGCAGUGGAUCCCAGGAGGACUGCAUCUACUUCAUCUGCGAUUAUCCUUGUCCAGAGUCUUCUGCAGAACCUCUUCGCGACGCUGGCAUAUACAACGUGAGAAGUGGGAUGAUAAUGCCAUUGCAUUUAAAGAAUCCUGCAGUACCGCAACGCCAAGCUGGUCAGUGGGGCCUGACCUGGUUUUUUCCUUCUGAAGCUAUAUGA
rnacentral:rRNA from 1 species